UCUCAAAGUUACACUCGGUGACAAAAAUAAUCAAUGUCAGAUCUCGUUUACGACUGUAGUUUUAUCGAGUACGUGUUGGCACAUUUGUACUGUAAUGAUCAGUAUAAGACUUUUACGAGUAUUGAACAGAAUCGCAACACCUACAUGUAUACAUCAUUAUGAAGCGUAAUAAAGUUCAUGACAUAACCCGUGCGAGAAAUUCAGCUGGUUUAGCUGUUCGCGAACUUUAGAACGCAUCCUUUGGCACACGUGCGAAAAUGUCGAUACGAAUUGUCUAUUUCUAGGUCGCGAAAGUAAGUAAAUCGAUACGAUGUGCUCUAAGACCGUCGAAUUUGCGAAUAUCCUUCUCCACGGCAUCAUGCACGCACGCCUGUGUGUAACUUUAUACAUUUCUUCUGUGAUUUCCGGUGCGUGUGGUAUUUCUUUGCUAUGCCAAAUCGGGCAAAUGAAUUAUACAUACUGCCUAGUAGGCAAGUUUCAUCGUUUCCUUGACAUCCUUAGCCGGUUAAGGACUUGCUCAGGUGUCCACUGAAGAAUCCGGCCGAAUGAAACACGCCGUUCCUUCGGAGCGUCCGUGGCAAUCGAUAAAACGUUUAACCUAAAUCUAUUCUCCACUUGCUAUCCAAGUUGAUUUCGCAACGCCGAUUCCGUAUUGCUCUAUCCUUCUCGUAGAUAAACUCCUUUGUGACGUUUAGAGUAUUCCUCCGACUCUGCACGCUCGAAUUGCGCUAUCGAUAUGAGAAUAUUUCCACGCCACUUUUAAGCGUCGCGUCGAGGACGGAUCAAAAGAGGAAAGGGCACAAACUGGUGGCAUUGUGCUCGAUUGUCUGAAUAGCGGCGCACAAACGUGGAACCGGCGCAAUUCAACUGGCGUCUUUAUUAACUCAACAGCUUGCUUUAAAAAUCCAUUGCAUUACACAGAACAGAAUUAAAUCCGUACCGUGACAUUCAGCCUAGCUGCUGUUGCGUGGGAGAAUAUUCAUUGAACAAUGAUCGUGAUCAGAAUUCCAGUCUCCUAGAAACUGCAGUUCUUCUGGCGUGUACCAAUUGACGAGGCACAUUAUUGGAUAGUAAA